rnacentral:lncRNA from 1 species
CUGUAAACUAUUUCCUCCAUCGACAUAAAGGCGCUGCAAUGUGCAAUCACAAAUGCAUGACCAUGGCAACAAAAAUAGGAAAUAAAAAAAAAAAACAGGUGAGUUGUGUCUAGAAGAGCAUCCUUCGUUCACUCCAUCACAGCAACACCGCCAGCUGCCUUUAUCUUCCCGAUGAUUGCUUCUGCUUCCUCCUUUGUGAGGGAUUGCUUCAGAAUGACAGGUGCCUUCUCCACUAUCUCCUUUGCCUCCUUCAGCCCCAAAUCCGUAAAUGUCCUGAUCUCCUUGAUAAUCUUGAUCUUUGCAGCAGCAUCGAACUUCUCCAACUUGACAUCGAAGACUGUCUUCUCAGCUUUCUUCUCCUCAGCCUUCCCAGCACCAGCCCCAGAACCACCCUGAGCACCAAAACUGAAACCCUGGCCAGAUAUCACCUGUGGCGGUUCUCGGUUCAGUCUGAAGAGAAGGGCUGGAGCAAUCUGUUUGAUCUCCUCAGGAGGGAGAGCAGCGAUGCGGUCAGCUAGAUCCACAACUUUCUCUGAAGCAACCUCGGUGCUGUAUAGAUGACCCCAAACUACUGAAAGACGGCUGCCAGAGGAUGGUUUCGAAAGACAUAGUCGUCGAGCUAUUGUACAGAGACUCAUCCUAAUAUCAGUUAUGUGAGUGCAAAAUUCUCCGCCUGCACCACAACAAACAAGAAUCAAUACUAAAUAGGACUCAAGAAAAAUUCUCAGCGUGGACUCUGAAUCCAUAAACAAACAUCUUGAAGCACACAGAGAUAAACAUGAUAUUAAAUGGGAUCAACUACAGAUAGUUUACAAAGCCAGUACUGCUGGCCUGCUGGGUGGCAUUCCAUUUACACCAAUACAAAGCACAAUAACUUGUGCCAGAAAUGUCUAUCUUUCAUUUGAAAAUUUUCCCAUUCUUGUCCCAAACUCCCAGUUUCUGUACUCUGAACGGGAGCACACCGAUAUGCAGGGAGAGGCAACAACAGCCAAACUGCUCAAGGUCAUCGAUUCAAGGGCAGGGGCGGAUCCCGUACAGGACAUCAGUGGAAAUAUUUGCACCCGAUAUUUUUGCAGAAAAAGUAAGUUUCUGUUUGUGUAUAUAAAACAUAUGCAAAUGCAUGUAUCUGGGUCAGAUCCCGAUACACAGCUUACGGUUUAGGGUUUGGGGGUACUCGGUUUCGCACAGAGGGAAGGGACGGGAAGCGAAGGGCAUACCAGAUGGAUGCUCGUCGCCGGUGAAGGGCCUAACGAGGGCGCCGCCGCUCGCCCAGCCGCCGCCAGGAAGCCACGAGACGAGAGAGCGAGGUGGACGGGCAGUGGGAGGCGAACGGGAGAGCCGGAGAGGUAGGUCUAGCAGGAGCUCGGCCAGCCCAUGUAGGCCCAGCGGGGAAGAGCCCAGCUCGUGGCAAAGAACCAGCCCCCCUUCCUUUUUUUAUUUUUUUAUUUUUUGCUAUAUACUCUCCUUUUUCUUGUAAAUCUUGGUGGCUAGUUUGAGUUAUUAAUAAAACUAGGAAAUGUGUCUGUGUGUUGCUAUGGAUAAAUACCAGAUUAUUCGAGUCAAUAUUAUACCUAUGUUUAAUUUUUUAUAUAUAACAAUUAAAAUUGUGAUAGUUUGUUGUGAAGUUACCUAGAUGAUUUGUGUCUCGGAAGAUUUAUCCAAUCGUCCCUUAACUUUCAAAAUGACUUUAUUUCUCAAAGUUUAUUUUGUUUGGCUUAGUUUCAUCAUAAGUCUAUCAAGGUGACUGUUUUGGUUUUCAACUUUAUAUUUUAGACUCGAUUUCAUCCAUAAAUUAUCAAAGUAUAUUUCAGUCUUCAAACUUUUAUUUUUGGUUCAUCUUCAUCUCUUGUCUUACGUACAACACCACAACCAUCAUGUCUGAUCAACUCCAACACCGCACAUGACCAGAGAUUAAAAAAAAAUAUUCAAAUAAAAAACAUCAUUAAUGGUUGGUCUAAAAACUCUUUAGAAACUAUUAAUAAUUCUAAUCUUUGCCACUGCCGAGGGGAAAGGUCAUCCAGCCUAAAGGAGAGUGUAAUCAAGUAGCAGAUGAAUUAGCUUUAGCUAGGAAAAGGUUCAUUCAAUGGUUGGGGGCUUAAGGCAAGCAUAGUACGGGACAUCUUCAAUGCCUUAGACCGUGCUUGCAAGCUCCGCGACUCCAUUGACCAAACGCUCCCCGUCAAACCGUUAUGUGGAUGAUGCUCUAGAAAACAUGCUGAGACGAGCGUAGAGAUAGAGCAAAGCUAAAAAAAGAAGCUUCACUCCUCCCUUUCGCUCCUGGUCACUGGUCAGCAGGGGAUGCUUGCUUCUUCCUCUCCUUUCUUCUUCUCCCUUUUUCUUUCUUUAUUUUCUUUCGACUACCUCUUCGUCUUCCUACUACAAAAAUGGAGGGGCUCAAGGGGGCCUUCAUUGUGUGGGUGGUGGUAAUGAGGCUCAGGGUGAAGGGACUGACUUCUGUUUCUUCCAUCAGGCAUGGAGGACGGAAUGAAGCUCAGGCGGUGACACAUUGGAUGGGGGUGAAAUUUGAAGGGAAAGGCAAUCAUCUUGUCCUUGCGCCACUGAUCUGUUGAUAUGAAUGACACUGAAAGCUUAUCCAGCUCUACAAAUUUGUAACGAGGAACACUCCAAGUGAAUCGAAGUUUCUGUCGCUGGUAAUUCAAUCCAAGCACACCAGAUGUAAUACAACAAUAUAACUUUUUUUACACUGCAAUGUAACUGACAUAGAGAAGAUAUCAGGGUAUCUAAGCAACUGCGAAACUGCAAAGUGUUUUUAAGUCAUAGCAGAUACAACAAGAGCAUCAAAUUCAUGGCAUUGGCUCUGAUGGCCACAUUCAUCCACUUCACCAGAAAAAUUGUGUAGAGCCCAAAGAACUGCUUAUUCUAGAACAAGUCAUGACUAUCAUCACAGCAACUAAAUCUCUAGUUUCCACCUCACCCUGGUUACCACCGUAGCUGUAAACUAUUUCCUCCAUCGACAUAAAGGCGCUGCAAUAUGCAAUCUCAAAUGCAUGAUCAUAGCAACAAAAAUAGGAAAUAAAAACACAGGUGUUUUGUGUCUAGAUGAGAACCCUUCGUUCACUCCAUCACAGCAACACCACCAGCUGCCUUUAUCUUCCCUAUGAUUGCUUCUGCUUCCUCCUUUGUGAGGGAUUGCUUCAGAAUGACAGGUGCCUUCUCCACUAGCUCCUUUGCCUCCUUCAGCCCCAAAUCCGUAAAUGUCCUGAUCUCCUUGAUAAUCUUGAUCUUUGCAGCAGCAUCGAACUUCUCCAACUUGACAUCGAAGACUGUCUUCUCAGCUUUCUUCUCCUCAGCCUUCCCAGCACCAGCCCCAGAACCACCCUGAGCACCAAAACUGAAACCC